UACGAAGGGGGCUAGCGUUGCUCGGAAUUACUGGGCGUAAAGCGCUCGUAGGCGGAUUGUUAAGUCAGGGGUGAAAUCCUGGAGCUCAACUCCAGAACUGCCUUUGAUACUGGCGAUCUCGAGUCCGGGAGAGGUGAGUGGAACUGCGAGUGUAGAGGUGAAAUUCGUAGAUAUUCGCAAGAACACCAGUGGCGAAGGCGGCUCACUGGCCCGGUACUGACGCUGAGGUGCGAAAGCGUGGGGAGCAAACAGG
rnacentral:rRNA from 1 species